CUGCCUGUCCACCGUUAGAAUACGUUGCUGUGUCGCUGGGUCAAAAAAAAAAAACGCACGUCACCUUCAAGAAACUCGUCCUUCCUUCCCAGCUCCCCCCCUCUCUCUCCCAAACUCUUUAAAUACACAGAUCCAUUUCGGUAUUUUUGUAAGCUGGAAUGUCUUGCAUUUAUAUUCACGCUUUCUUCGGCCAUUUCUACCUGUCUGGUUUCUGCAAUUAUCUGCAGCGAACACGUACAGCCAUGGGAACUCAAGCUCCCAGUCAUCAGAACUCAUACGACAGCGCUGUCGUUACUCUCUCUCUCUCUCUCUCUCACACACACACACAAACACAAUGGAAGUUCUGAAAUUCCCAAAAUCGCUGGAGUUCUGUAUUGAGCUCUUCCUUAUUUUAUCUUCUUUUAAAAGUUAUGUCUCAACGUUUUCAUGCCGUAUUACAUGCUUCCCAUAGAACACAAACUCCAACAAUUAGAUGACCCCUCUUUGAUAAAAAUGACUGAUGAAAAACUAGCGAAGCAGAAAGCUAUUGAUGGAUGGCUUCCGAUUACUUCUGCGAGGAAUGCAAAAUGUUGGUAUUCAGCUUCCGAUUACUUCUGCGAGGAAUGCAAGUGUAGACCACUUGCACUCUAAGUACUAACUUUCCACGAAGCUUCCAUGCAAAUUCUUCUCUCUAUGGUGAAUUGCGUGCACUUGCCUCUACAUUUUCUUGAAAAUGAUAGAGAUAUUUCCUAGACAUGUCACACGCAAUAGCAUUAUAAAUCAAAUCAUGAUUUUUUUAAAACAGGGACUCAGA